GACGAACGCUGGCGGCGUGCUUAACACAUGCAAGUCGAACGGAAAGACCCUGCUUUUGUGGGGUGCUCGAGUGGCGAACGGGUGAGUAACACGUGAGUAACCUGCCCUUGACUUUGGGAUAACUUCAGGAAACUGGGGCUAAUACCGGAUAGGAGCUCCUGCUGCAUGGUGGGGGUUGGAAAGUUUCGGCGGUUGGGGAUGGACUCGCGGCUUAUCAGCUUGUUGGUGGGGUAGUGGCUUACCAAGGCUUUGACGGGUAGCCGGCCUGAGAGGGUGACCGGCCACAUUGGGACUGGGAUCCGGCCCAGACUCCUACGGGAGGCAGCAGGGGGGAAUAUUGCACAAUGGGCGGAAGCCUGAUGCAGCAACGCCGCGUGCGGGAUGACGGCCUUCGGGUUGUAAACCGCUUUCGCCUGUGACGAAGCGUGAGUGACGGUAAUGGGUAAAGAAGCACCGGCUAACUACG
rnacentral:rRNA from 1 species